rnacentral:rRNA from 1 species
AACGCGUGGGAAUCUACCUUUUGGUACGGAAUAGCUCCGGGAAACUGGAAUUAAUACCGUAUGUGUCCUUCGGGAGAAAGAUUUAUCGCCAAGAGAUGAGCCCGCGUUUGAUUAGGUAGUUGGUGGGGUAAUGGCCUACCAAGCCGACGAUCAAUAGCUGGUCUGAGAGGAUGGUCAGCCACAUUGGGACUGAGACACGGCCCAAACUCCUACGGGAGGCAGCAGUGGGGAAUAUUGGACAAUGGGCGCAGGCCUGAUCCAGCCAUGCCGCGUGAGUGAUGAAGGCCCUAGGGUUGUAAAGCUCUUUCGCCGGUGAAGAUAAUGACUGUAGCCGGUAAGGAAGCCCCGGCUAACUCCGUGCCAGCAGCCGCGGUAAUACGGAGGGAGCUAGCGUUGUUCGGAAUUACUGGGCGUAAAGCGCGCGUAGGCGGUUACUCAAGUCAGAGGUGAAAGCCCGGAGCUCAACUCCGGAACUGCCCUUGAAACUAGGUGACUAGAAUCUUGGAGAGGCGAGUGGAAUCCCGAGUGCAGAGGUGAAAUUCGUAGAUAUUCGGAAGAACACCAGUG